rnacentral:rRNA from 1 species
UACGGAGGGUGCAAGCAUUAAUCGGAUUUAUUGGGCGUAAAGGACGCGUAGGCUGAUAAGCAAGUCAGGUGUGAAAUCCUGGGGCUCAACCCCAGAACAGCACUUGAAGCUACUGUAUCUAGAGGGUAGGCGGAGAAAACGGAAUUCCACAAGUAGCGGUGAAAUGCGUAGAUAUGUGGAAGAACACCGGUGGCGAAGGCGGUUUUCUAGCUUAUUCCUGACGCUGAGGCGUGAAAGCAAGGGGAUCAAACAGG